rnacentral:rRNA from 1 species
UACGGAGGGUGCGAGCGUUAAUCGGAAUUACUGGGCGUAAAGCGCGCGUAGGCGGUUUGCUAAGUCCGCUGUGAAAGCCCCGGGCUUAACCUGGGAACUGCAGUGGAUACUGGCAAGCUAGAGUAUGGUAGAGGAGAGUGGAAUUUCCGGUGUAGCAGUGAAAUGCGUAGAGAUCGGAAGGAACACCAGUGGCGAAGGCGGCUCUCUGGACCAAUACUGACGCUGAGGUGCGAAAGCGUGGGGAGCAAACAGG